rnacentral:rRNA from 1 species
UAAUACGGAGGGUGCAAGCGUUAUCCGGAUUCACUGGGUUUAAAGGGUGUGUAGGCGGGCUAUUAAGUCAGUGGUGAAAUCUCCGGGCUCAACCCGGAAACUGCCAUUGAUACUAUUAGUCUUGAAUAUCGUUGAGGUAGGCGGAAUAUAUCAUGUAGCGGUGAAAUGCAUAGAUAUGAUAUAGAACACCGAUUGCGAAGGCAGCUUGCUAAACGAUGAUUGACGCUGAGGCACGAAAGCGUGGGGAUCAAACAGGAUUAGAUACCCUGGUAGUCCACGCCCUAAACGAUGAUUACUCGACAUACGCGAUACACAGUGUGUGUCUGAGCGAAAGCAUUAAGUAAUCCACCUGGGAAGUACGUCCGCAAGGAUG